ACUCCGUACGGGAGGACAGCUAGUAGGGAACUCUUCCACAAUGGACGAAAGUCUGAUGGAGCAACGCCGCGUGAACGAUGAAGGCCUUCGGUCGUAAGUUACUGUUGUAAGGGAAGAACAAGUGCCGCAGGCAAUGGCGGCACCUUGACGGUACCUUGCGAGAAAGCCACGGCUAACUACGUGCCAGCAGCCGCGGUAAUACGUAGGUGGCAAGCGUUGUCCGGAAUUAUUGGGCGUAAAGCGCGCGCAGGCGGCCUCUUAAGUCUGAUGUGAAAGCCCCGGCUCAACCGGGGGAGGGCCAUUGGAAACUGGGAGGCUUGAGUAUAGGAGAGAAGAGUGGAAUUCCACGUGUAGCGGUGAAAUGCGUAGAGAUGUGGAGGAACACCAGUGGCGAAGGCGACUCUUUGGCCUAUAACUGACGCUGAGGCGCGAAAGCGUGGGGAGCAAACAGGAUUAGAUACCCUGGUAGGAUAGCG
rnacentral:rRNA from 1 species